rnacentral:rRNA from 1 species
GUCCACGCUGUAAACGAUGGGUACUAGGUGUCGCGGGUGUUGACCCUGCGGUGCCGCAGCUAACGCAUUAAGUACCCGCCUGGGGAUUACGGUCGCAAGAUUAAACUCAAAGGAAUUGACGGGGCCCGCACAAGCGGUGGAGCAUGUGGUUUAAUUCGACGCAACGCGAAGAACCUUACCUGGGUUAGACAACGGUGGAUCGUCCUGGAGACAGGGCUUUCCCUUCGGGGACCGCCGGUUCAGGUGCUGCAUGGCUGUCGU